rnacentral:rRNA from 1 species
AACGAACGCUGGCGGCAGGCCUAACACAUGCAAGUCGAGCGAGAUCUUCGGGUCUAGCGGCGGACGGGUGAGUAACGCGUGGGAAUAUGCCUCUUGGUACGGAAUAGCCUCGGGAAACUGGGAGUAAUACCGUAUGUGCCCUUUGGGGGAAAGAUUUAUCGCCAAGAGAUUAGCCCGCGUUGGAUUAGGUAGUUGGUGGGGUAAUGGCCUACCAAGCCGACGAUCCAUAGCUGGUUUGAGAGGAUGAUCAGCCACACUGGGACUGAGACACGGCCCAGACUCCUACGGGAGGCAGAAGUGGGGAAUCUUAGACAAUGGGGGCAACCCUGAUCUAGCCAUGCCGCGUGAGUGAUGAAGGCCUUAGGGUUGUAAAGCUCUUUCAGCUGGGAAGAUAAUGACGGUACCAGCAGAAGAAGCCCCGGCUAACUCCGUG